UUGUUGAGUACUUGACCAAAAUUCUGGCCAAAUCCUUUACUGUAGCUAGGAUUAGCUCUGUCCUUUGAAAUCCCUGAAAACAUCAUCCGCCGUGGCUUCUCCUCCUCCUUCCAUUUGCAUUUCCUUCCUUUCGACAUUAGUCAAAAUGGGAGCACCGUUUUCUUUGACAUGCAGGUUUAUAUUUUAUUAGUUUGUUUGGUUUUGCUGUUGCUGGCCGUAGAGGAGGAGGAUGAUAGACGAGGGAUUUUUCGAUAGGCUUGCUUUGAGUCAGAAAGCGGAUUUGGAUCUGGGUUUGUUGAUCGGGUUAACUAUAUUUGAGAGAAGGGUUUGCUGUGUUCUUGGAACCCAUACUACUUUAAUGGCUGAAUUGAAGUUGAAGGUGUUCAAAUACCAGCAUUAAUCCAAACAAUCAUCGCUUCUAAAUCAGCCUUUUUCUCUUAGGCUUUUUGCCGCAUCAUAAUUGGUAAAUAAACUGAUAAUCCCUGUUUACGUAUUGUGUUCAAGCUGUUAUUAACUAGAAAUUUUAGUCCAUUAAUUUAACUUCUGCAAAUUUAAGCUAUAUAUAUAUAUAUAUAAGGUAUAUUGAGAGUUGACAUAUUGAAUUCAAGCUCAAAUGUACGGCAAGGCAUGCAGUUAAUAAUUUUGACCAAUAUUGUUGGUGGUUUUGUAACAAUCUGUGAUGACAGUCCAAAUAUAAUUAAACAGAGCCAAGGAUGACUUCCCAGAGGAACAGAGCAGCCGUAUUUUCAUCGCAGCAUCAUCGAAUACAGACUGCGUGGACAAGAAUCAGUUCGCUCGACUAUUGGAAGAGAGCAGGAUAUGACCAGCAUGACCCGGCAUGGCUUCACCAGUAU
rnacentral:lncRNA from 1 species